rnacentral:lncRNA from 1 species
UGAGAUAAUCGCCUGAGACUUGGCCAAAUCUGACCAAAACAUAAAACAUUAAAAUUAUUGAUAAUUUCAUUCAAUCAGUUCAUAUUUAUUUUUGUCUCAUCUGUCUAUGUUAUCUAGGUUUAAAAACUAGGUCAUUGGCUCAAUACUAGUAAUAUAAGUGCUUUGUUUAUGCACUUGUGGCCACACUCUUUCACUGUAAUUCUUCAUCAAUUCCAGGGGAGCAUAUUUGAGGGAAGAAUAUACUGUUGCGUUAACAGACAAAAAAUUGAAAAAAGCCUUUGAAGAAAACUUUCAUUUAGCUGGACUAUAUUGUGAAAAAGUUUUGUUCAAGGAGGCCUUGUGUGUCAUAUUCCAGAGCGUUACUGGAGCCAAUUACCAUGAUGCAGAAAAAGAGUGUUUGGCGGUCCAGAAUGCAUCCAUGAUACAAGCCAU